UUUCCGUAGGUGAACCUGCGGUAGGAUCAUUAUCGAGUUUUGAAGUGGGCUGCUUGAGCUGGCACGCAGGUGCUCAGCGGCUCCGCUCUCAUCCACUCAACCCCUGUGCACCUUGAACGAGAGUUGGUCCCGAUGCUGCAUAGCAGAAGGGUCAUUCUUGUUUCUUACAAACUCUUUAUAUUGUCUUGUAAUGCAUUGCCUCUUUGUGGGCGAAAUGUUAAUAUAACUUUCAACAACGGAUCUCUUGGCUCUCGCAUCGAUGAAGAACGCAGC
rnacentral:misc_RNA from 1 species